GACGAACGCUGGCGGCGUGCUUAACACAUGCAAGUCGUACGGUAAGGCCCUUUCGGGGGUACACGAGUGGCGAACGGGUGAGUAACACGUGAGUAACCUGCCCACAACUUUGGGAUAACGCUAGGAAACUGGUGCUAAUACUGGAUAUGUGCUCCUGCUGCAUGGUGGGGGUUGGAAAGCUCCGGCGGUUGUGGAUGGACUCGCGGCCUAUCAGCUUGUUGGUGGGGUAGUGGCCUACCAAGGCGGCGACGGGUAGCCGGCCUGAGAGGGUGACCGGCCACAUUGGGACUGAGAUACGGCCCAGACUCCUACGGGAGGAAGCAGUGGGGAAGAUUGCACAAUGGGCGCAAGCCUGAUGCAGCAACGCCGCGUGCGGGAUGACGGCCUUCGGGUUGUAAACCGAUUUCAGCAGGGACGAAGCUUUUUGUGACGGUACCUGCAGAAGAAGCACCGGCUAACUACGUG
rnacentral:rRNA from 1 species